CUUGAAAGAGUUUAAUGAAGUAGAUUCUUUAACCGAAAAGUUUGGAUCUUAUUUACAGUUGCUUAGCGUGGUUUGCCGGGUCGGCUAUUUUUGUAAACUGUACAUAUGAUGUGAUAAAUUAGACGUCAAACUUUAUAUCUGUGUUACAGCUUAUUAAUUUUUUACCAUAUUGGUGAGGAUAUCAGUAUGGUGUAUAUACUGAAUUUUUAAUAAAUUUAUAAUAGGGUUAAAGUUACCCUUUUAUUAAAAAAUUGUUUAAAAUUUUUUAAUAGGAUUUUCAGUUAUUUUUAAGGCUGUUUAAAAUCAAUUUUUUGAAAUUAAUGAUUUUUGAAUAAGUAAUAGAAUAAAUUUAAUCAUUUCUCAAGUUUAGCCCGUCUGUUUAUUAAAAACAUUUCUAUAUUUUAAUCUUAUAUAGUAGUACCUGCUCUAUGUUAAUAUAAAUGGCCGCAGUAUUUUGACUGUGCGAAGGUAGCAUAAUUAAUUGCCUUAUAAUUAAAGGCUUGUUUGAAUGGUUUGACGUGGUUAAUACAAAUGUUUAACUUUUUUUUGAAAUUUAUAUGGAGGGCACAGAAUCCUCCAUACUUAAUUAGACGGAAAGACCCCAGGAUCUUUCGUUUUUGUCUGGGGCAGAUUUUUAUGUUUCAUAAAAAAUUAUGAUCCUUAUGCUUAAGUAUAAUGAUUUAAGUUACCCUGGGGAUAACAGUGUAAUAGUCUAUAAGAGUUCUUAUCGAAUAGACUGUUUGCUACCUCGAUGUUGACUUAGAUAAAUGGGUAGGCGCAGUAGUCUACUUUUUU
rnacentral:rRNA from 1 species